GACUACCGGGGUAUCUAAUCCUGUUUGCUACCCACGCUCUCGCGUCUCAGCGUCAGUAUAGGGCCAGGAAGUCGCCUUCGCCACCGGUGUUCCUCCUGAUAUCUACGAAUUUCACCUCUACACCAGGAAUUCCACUUCCCUCUCCCCUACUCAAGCCUGGCAGUUUCAAAUGCACUUCCUGGGUUAAGCCCAGGGCUUUCACAUCUGACUUGACAAGCCGCCUACACGCUCUUUACGCCCAAUAAUUCCGAACAACGCUUGCACCCCCCGUAUUACCGCGGCUGCUGGCACGGAGUUAGCCGGUGCUUCCUUUGGUGGUACCGUCAAGUAUGAAGGCUAUUAACCCCAUACAUUUCUUUCCACCCGACAGAGCUUUACGAUCCGAAGACCUUCCUCACUCACGCGGCGUUGCUGCGUCAGGGUUUCCCCCAUUGCGCAAGAUUCCUCACUGCAGCCUCCCGUAGG
rnacentral:rRNA from 1 species